GGCGAACGGGUGAGUGACACGUGAGUAACCUGCCCUUGACUUUGGGAUAACUUCAGGAAACUGGGGCUAAUACCGGAUAGGAGCUCCUGCUGCAUGGUGGGGGUUGGAAAGUUUCGGCGGUUGGGGAUGGACUCGCGGCUUAUCAGCUUGUUGGUGGGGUAGUGGCUUACCAAGGCUUUGACGGGUAGCCGGCCUGAGAGGGUGACCGGCCACAUUGGGACUGAGAUACGGCCCAG
rnacentral:rRNA from 1 species